GCCCAAGAGAUCGGGAUAACACCUGGAAACAGAUGCUAAUACCGGAUAACAACAGAUGAUGCCUAUCAACUGUUUAAAAGAUGGUUCUGCUAUCACUCUUGGAUGGACCUGCGGUGCAUUAGCUAGUUGGUAGGGUAACGGCCUGCCAAGGCGAUGAUGCAUAGCCGAGUUGAGAGACUGAUCGGCCACAUUGGGACUGAGACACGGCCCAAACUCCUACGGGAGGCAGCAGAA
rnacentral:rRNA from 1 species